rnacentral:rRNA from 1 species
GGUGAACGCUGGCGGUGCGCCUAAUACAUGCAAGUCGAACGAGACGCUUAAUUUAUUAAGUUGAAAGUGGCGGACGAGCGAGUAACACGUAACCAUCUGCCCUAUACUCAGGGAUAACUGGUCGAAAGAUCAGCUAAUACCGGAUAGUCCCGCAAGGGUAAAGAUUUAUCGGUAUAGGAGGAGGUUGCGGCUUAUCAGUUUGUUGGUGGGGUAAAGGCCUACCAAGACUAUGACGAGUAGCUGGUGUGAGAGCAUGACCAGCCGCGAUGGAACUGAGACACGGUCCAUACUCCUACGGGAGGCAGCAGUAAGGAAUCUUCCGCAAUGGGCGAAAGCCUGACGGAGCGACACCGCGUGGUGGAUGACGGCCUAUGGGUUGUAAACACCUUUUCUAUGGGAAGAAGAUCUGACGGUACCAUAGGAAUAAGCCCCGGCUAAUUACG